rnacentral:rRNA from 1 species
UACGAAGGGGCUAGCGUUGCUCGGAAUCACUGGGCGUAAAGCGCACGUAGGCGGACUCUUAAGUCGGGGGUGAAUCCUGGAGCUCAACUCCAGAACCUGCCUUCGAUACUGGGAGUCUUGAGUUCGGGAGAGGUGAGUGGAACUGCGAGUGUAGAGGUGAAAUUCGUAGAUAUUCGCAAGAACACCAGUGGCGAAGGCGGCUCACUGGACUGGUAUUGACGCUGAGGUGCGAAAGCGUGGGGAGCAAACAGGG